UCAGAUAUGACUAAGCACAAUAACCGAUCAGAAAACGUAACAAAAAUGUAAUGGAACGUUUUAGAAAUGUAGUGGAUUAGAAAGUAUAGAUAAUUUCUGCAAAAUGUAACAAGGUAAGAGUCAAAAGUAUGCAAUAUUGAU